GAUGAAGAACGUAGCAAAAUGCGAUAAGUAAUGUGAAUUGCAGAAUUCAGUGAAUCAUCGAAUCUUUGAACGCACAUUGCGCCCGCUGGUAUUCCGGCGGGCAUGCCUGUUCGAGCGUCAUUUCAACCCUCAAGCCCCCCGGGUUUGGUGUUGGGGAUCGGCUCUGCCUCACGGCGGUGCCGCCCCCGAAAUACAUUGGCGGUCUCGCUGCAGCCUCCAUUGCGUAGUAGCUAACACCUCGCAACUGGAACGCGGCGCGGCCAUGCCGUAAAACCCCAACUUCUGAAUGUUGACCUCGGAUCAGGUAGGAAUACUCGCUGAACUUAAGCAUAUCAAUAAGCGGAGGA
rnacentral:misc_RNA from 1 species